UACGUAGGGGGCGAGCGUUGUCCGGAAUCAUUGGGCGUAAAGCGCGUGUAGGCGGCCCGGUAAGUCCGCUGUGAAAGUCCAGGGCUCAACCCUGGGAUGCCGGUGGAUACUGUCGGGCUCGAGUCCGGAAGAGGCGAGUGGAAUUCCUGGUGUAGCGGUGGAAUGCGCAGAUAUCAGGAGGAACACCAAUAGCGAAGGCAGCUCGCUGGGACGGUACUGACGCUGAGGCGCGACAGCGUGGUGAGCAAACAGG
rnacentral:rRNA from 1 species